AGUGAACGCUGGCGGCGUGCAUAAUACAUGCAAGUCGAACGGAGUAGCGCACGGGUGAGUAAUGUAUAGCUAAUCUGCCCUACACUAGAGGCCAACAGUUGGAAACGGCUGCUAAUACUCUAUAGUGUAGGAUGAGGCUAUAUUGUAUCAGCUAGUUGGUGAGGUAAUGGCUCACCAAGGCUAUGAUGCGUAACUGGUCUGAGAGGAUGUUCAGUGACACUGGAACUGAGACACGGUCCAGACACCUACAGGAUGCAGCAGUAGGGAAUAUUGCUCAAUGGGGGAAACCCUGAAGCGGCAACGCCGCGUGGAGGAUGACACUUUUCGGAGCGUAAACUCCUUUUGUUAGGGAAGCGGUACCUAACGAAUAAGGCACGGCUAACUACGUGCCAGCCGCCGCGGUAAUAC
rnacentral:rRNA from 1 species